UCUCUUGGCGGCGAGUGGCGGACGGGUGAGUAAUAUAUCGGAACGUGCCCAGUAGCGGGGGAUAACUACUCGAAAGAGUGGCUAAUACCGCAUACGCCCUACGGGGGAAAGGGGGGGAUCGCAAGACCUCUCACUAUUGGAGCGGCCGAUAUCGGAUUAGCUAGUUGGUGGGGUAAAGGCUCACCAAGGCAACGAUCCGUAGCUGGUUUGAGAGGACGACCAGCCACACUGGGACUGAGACACGGCCCAGACUCCUACGGGAGGCAGCAGUGGGGAAUUUUGGACAAUGGGGGAAACCCUGAUCCAGCCAUCCCGCGUGUAUGAUGAAGGCCUUCGGGUUGUAAAGUACUUUUGGCAGAGAAGAAAAGGUAUCCCCUAAUACGGGAUACUGCUGACGGUAUCUGCAGAAUAAGCACCGGCUAACUACGUGCCAGCAGCCGCGGUAAUACGUAGGGUGCAAGCGUUAAUCGGAAUUACUGGGCGUAAAGCGUGUGUAGGCGGUUCGGAAAGAAAGAUGUGAAAUCCCAGGGCUCAACCUUGGAACUGCAUUUUUAACUGCCGAGCUAGAGUAUGUCAGAGGGGGGUAGAAUUCCACGUGUAGCAGUGAAAUGCGUAGAUAU
rnacentral:rRNA from 1 species